rnacentral:rRNA from 1 species
CACGUAUUUAGCCGGGGCUUCUUAGUCAGGUACCGUCAUUUUCUUCCCUGCUGAUAGAGCUUUACAUACCGAGGUACUUCUUCGCUCACGCGGCGUCGCUGCAUCAGGGUUCCCCCCAUUGUGCAAUAUCCCCCACCUGCUGCCUCCCGUAGGAGUCUGGGCCGUGUCUCAGUCCCAAUGUGGCCGUCCACCCUCUCAGGCCGGCUACUGAUCGUCGCCUUGGUGGGCCGUUGCCCCGCCAACCAGCUAAUCAGACGCGGGCCCAUCCCGCACCACCGGAGUUUUCCACACUGCUUCAUGCAAAGCUGUGCGCAUAUGCGGUAUUAGCAGCCGUUUCCGGCUGUUGUCCCCCAGUGCGGGGCAGGUUGCCCACGCGUUACUCACCCGUCCGCCACUCAGUCAUAUGCCCUUCCCCCCGGAGGGUUCCAGGCAUGCGCUUCGUUCGACUUGCAUGUGUUAGGCACGCCGCCAGCGUUCAUCCUGAGCCAGGAUCAAA